ensembl:lincRNA Gm10637 predicted gene 10637
CCCUUCUCCUGUGCUUCGCUUAGAUCUUUAAGAUGUCCCCAGCAAAGCAGAUAGAAGCAGCCACACUGGGACAGACAAGCUGGGUGGCCCGAGCUCAGCCAUUAGGCUCUGGUGGAGGUAGAUGGAAGGCGGAGACUUUUCCCCACCUACAAUCUGAGGAUCUGCUCUGCAGGCAGCUCAAGGAAGCUAACAGGCUUGCAGGGCUGUCUGGGGUUGAGCUGUCAAGGCCAGGGUGGCUGGGAUUAGCCUGGGAAGGACCUUGUAUCUGCAACUCUUCAGCUGUUGUUUCCUGUUCUGUGGAUCGGUGCCAAGGCUCUGGAUGUGGAGAGCAUUCUGAUGACUCCGUAAUGAAACUCCAAGAUCCACUGGAGAGAAGAAAGGGUGGUCAGAAGGCAAUGAGACAGUUCAAGCUCCAGGGACAGCAUUAAUGAGCAACAUCAGUUCAGUUGUCCUCCAGACUGGGAGGCUAAAACAGCUCAAUUGCCUGCACUCCAGACAGAGGUGCAUCCUGUGAAACCAGGUGACUGACGACACCUUCCAGAGCCAGAGAGUGGUCCUUCAGAAAGGAGGAUGAGCUGCGACCAGUCUCGGAAUAAAUCCUCAUUGUUUGUCACUGAAGAACAAUAAGGAAACCCACUCUAUAUGGGAAACUUGGGUUCAUGGAAGGCCAUGAAUAAGCCUUAUUGACUACAGAUAACUCUCUUUCUGUGAGAAAUGAAGAUGGUAGUUUGAACAAAAACCAAUGAAAAUAGGAGUUGACUGAAAUCUUUUUGGAUGUGCCA